AUUGAGUUAGUGUAACAAAACAUUUUAGGAUGUGGGCCUAACGAUGAGUAUAAUCUCACUCAAUA
rnacentral:tRNA from 1 species